AACGUACGGACGGCGGUCUUGACCCCCACAGCGAUGAACAACACAGCGAAAUGCGGUAUGUCUUGCGACUUGCAGAAUCCAACGAAAACUCAAAACUUUGAAAUUGAACGUAUCUUGUGCGUAUGGCGCACGGCACCAAACGUGCAAGUGCGUAUGGGUGACA
rnacentral:rRNA from 1 species